CCUAAGAUCCACAAAUAUCACAUCUCAUCUCAUCAAUCAAUAUGCACGACACCCCCUGUUCGUCCUCCUUUCGAUGGGCCUUUCACUUGAUUCAUAAUUCUGGCACUCUUUCUAACUGGACGUGCAACUUCUUCUUCAACCUUCUCAGUAUCCACUGACUCAGAUGGAGCUGCAAAUGUCCUAGGCCGAAUUGAAUCAAAAGGAGCUGGAGCUGGAGCUGGGUUCUUUCUCUUAUUUUUUGUUGGCACAGUUGAUGUUGAUGUUUUCUUUUUUGUUGGUGC
rnacentral:lncRNA from 1 species